rnacentral:rRNA from 1 species
GACGAAGGGGGCUAGCGUUGUUCGGAAUUACUGGGCGUAAAGCGCGUGUAGGCGGCUGCCUAAGUCGGGCGUGAAAGCCUUGAGCUCAACUCAAGAAAUGCACUCGAUACUUGGUGACUAGAGGACCGGAGAGGAUAGUGGAAUUCCCAGUGUAGUGGUGAAAUACGUAGAGAUUGGGAAGAACACCAGUGGCGAAGGCGGCUAUCUGGACGGUUUCUGACGCUAAGACGCGAAAGCGUGGGGAGCAAACAGG